AAGGAGAUCUUUGGAGGGGGAAAUACAAAAUUUCAAUUAUAUUCUUACCUUUCUUCUCAACAUCCUUUAAAGCACUGACAGUGUGGGAGAACUGAAAAAGGAAUUGUGAUAAAGCCAGGAAAUUGUGGAGCCAGCAAUAGGGAAUUGAAGGCUCUCUUGACAUGGAGAGGAAGAGAGAGCUGUGUAUAAAUGGAGUGAGGAUUCAUCAUCAUCACGGUAUCUCUGUCAGCCACUUCAGACGCACACUGAUCUCACAGCCAGGCCUGCCAGCGUUGCUGAAGUGGCGUGCUCAGCACAUCCGUUUGAGCAGGACCCAGGAUCAGCUGAGGAAGCACCUGGACACUUCUCUGCUCUGUUUCCUUUCUCCCACUGGAACUGUGGAUGGCUGUGCUGAGCAUGGGUGCUGCUUUCAGCUUUAAUCUGUGCAAUAUGGACAUGAUACAGUGAUUGAAAAUGAAGAGCAGGUCUGCUUGGGCAGCUUUUCUCACACUCCCCUCCAUACCUCCACCAAUCUAUGCUGUGCUUCCUUGGCUUGAGCAGGAUUCUCCAGCUCCAGAAUGAUGUUUCACAGCACAGCUGUAUCCCAGGAGUAGAAAUGGUCACUUAUCUAAUGCAUGGCAGCACCUCAUCUCCAGGGUGAUUUGGUGGAAGAGCUCUAUGGGAAGUGCUUCAUUUCUUUUACCGGGGCUACUUCCUAGCACUGUGAGAACUUGGAAAAAGCACUGAGAUUUCUUACAGUGGCAGAUUUGAAAACUGCAAUUAAAUAUUGAUAAUGAAAAGCUUUUGGUGAAGGGUUUUAUGCCUUUGGCAAGUACAGUUUCAACACGGGGAGUGGGUAAUCUGUUAACCUUCUUGCCUCAUUACACUUUUGAAUUCAAAAUGAGAAACUGUCUUUAAGGACUUAUUAGUCUACACUCAGUACUUGCUAAGAUCACAUAAUGAUCUGGUUCUGAUGUGCUUUGGGGAUUUUUCUGUUUGACUCAUUUGGUAACUGCUUACCCACCCCACAAUAGGCUGCGCCCUCCAAAGAUGAGCCACAGUGAGCCACAGUCCCACGGCCCUUAAGCCACAACAAACAGAUAAAACUUUUGUCCAAAAAAAUGCAUUUUUCCUGCUGAAUAUUCGCACAGUUUCUUGAUUUGAAAAAUGAAAACACUUUCUAGAACAUAUUUUCCAGUUCUGCUUGCAGUAUCACAGAUGGAACUGCCCUCAGAAGGACAAAUUUUGCACUGCAAAGACGGGUGCCAGGUUUUGCUCAUCUUAAAGACCUUGCCUUCCAGAUCCAUCCUGUGAACCAGCCAUGCAUGGAUCACAUCUGUGAGCUUGGAGCAGCUGAAAUAACUAUACCCUUCCCAGCUGAGUAAGAGACUAGCGGCGAUGGGAGCUGUUAAGCAAGUAGGAGAGCUUUGCCCCAUGCAAUGACCUCUGCCUCUGGAUUCAGAUGAAAUGGGUGAGCUUGAAUCUUUGCUCAUUCAUGAAGGAAUGAACACAGCAGGAAGGCAGCAAAGAGGGAGAAGUAAUCGUUUGCUUGACUGCACACAGAAGGAAACCUGGACACAUAUGGCAAUGACUUAACAUCCACUUCUGCAUGCUCUGGCCGUCAACGUUACUGACUGAUUUGAUUAUUCAGGUAAAGUCAUCAGAAAUGUUCUAAUGCACUUUCUGGAGCCACGCAAUUAUUUUAGAGUUCCACUGCUGCUUAGAUUUGCGAAGCUUUCUGUAUUUCCUCUGUUCUUUCUUUGCACGAAGAGUGAACAAAUGGUAGCAGCAUGCCU